ACCAACACCCAAAAAAGCAAAAACAUAGUGAAGACCUGAAGAAAAAACCUCAGUGCCCUCCGCUUCUCUCACAAUUUCUCCGGCCCUCUGUUAACACAAGCAUGAAGAAGUGUUUUGAGACCGGCCAAUCCUCCACCAACGAAACCUUAAGUGUGAAGAGAAAAGGAAAGAAGCCCAUGGCUCCCAGGAAGGAAAGUGAACUGAGAGAUAACAAGCACAAGAAGCAUACAAGUUCUAAAAGGAGGUUUGAGAAAACGCUGAAGAAGCAGAAAAGUUUGGAAUCAAAGAUAGAAGAUCUUAAGAAAGAAAUGAACCACGAGGAGUUGCAGGAAUACCAAGAAAAGCUGGGACGAUUGGAGCAGAACCUUGCCGAGAUUAAAAUGCAAUUCACUCUGGCAAAAGAAAUAAAUGAUGACAACCAGAUUUUCUUGAAUUCUAUAAUUGCUCUUUUGUUCCCUUGAAAUGAAGGAGAUGCAGGCAGGAGCAGUGGGGAACUAACUCCAGAUGAUUAAGUGCUAAAAGUUCCAAACUUGUGGGAAGGAGGAAAUCAAACUUCGGGAGUUCUCCUUUUAUCCAAUUAGAGAAUAUUUAGUUAUCGAACAUUAGUAUCGUGACAUGAUGAUUGUUUUAAGACUUUACACGGAGUGUAAACAAUGUUGCUUGUUUUUCAUUUCAUUUAGUGUAUUCGCUUAAAGACUUUAGAUUGA